rnacentral:rRNA from 1 species
CACGUAGGGUGCGAGCGUUGUCCGGAAUUAUUGGACGUAAAGAGCUCGUAGGCGGUGUGUCGCGUCGGCCGUGAAAACCUGCAGCUUAACUGUGGGCUUGCGGUCGAUACGGGGCAUCACUGGAGUUCGGCAGGGGAGACUGGAAUUCCUGGUGUAGCGGUGAAAUGCGCAGAUAUCAGGAGGAACACCGGUGGCGAAGG